ACAAAUGAAAACAAGUCUGAGUCCAAACCCAAAUAGGUAUCUUGCUUGGCUCGCAUGGAUCAAUUUGUUAAUAAAUAAACUCUAAAACGAUAUUGUACAACCGAGCCUACCGACCCUGGCAUGCAAACUUGAAGCUGAUCAAAAUAAAUCUGAGUCAAAAUACACAAACCUGAGUUAAGUGCGAGCCAAUCACAAACAUUAAAAUUAUGAAACGAAUCAAACACGAACACAUAUUCAACAAGCUCAGCGAGUCUGAGCCUCGACUCACUGAAAACGAGCCGGGCCUGGUUCAGGGCUCAGCUCGGCUUGUCUUCAGCCCUUCUACCUAAGUCUGGUUUUCCACUACCCCUGUCUGAGCUUUUGUUCCCGUAUCUUAUGUCUGAGGUCCUGCUACUCACGUUCGAUUAUGUAGCAAUCUUAAGGAUUUUAUAUCAUGUAUCCAAACUCACACGUUGCUGACAUCGUUGCUAAUGCUGCUAUCAGUUUCACUUCUCACGCCAACCACAACAGUGCUACUGUUUUUCCAUUCGAUAUCAUCUUGCCACUGCUAUUUGCAAAACCCUUUCCUGACAUCUCGAAAAUUAGACUGUUUGCUGGUCAGAACUGUAAAAAAUUGGCAGGAGUGAGUAUUUUCCAUACUUGAUGUGCAUGGCUGGCUGGGCACCCAAGAGGAGGCUGCUCAUGCCUAUAACAUUGCAGCAAUUGAGUACAGAGGGAUCAAUGCAGUGACCAACUUUGAAAGUACAUACAUCAGGUGGCUAAAACCAGGAGCUGUACUCCUCUUCCUUUCCAAGCACAAAAAAUAAGUUUCAAGUCCCAGCCCAUGGCAACUCUCUCCGAUUACAUUAUUCUAAAGGCCAGACAACUAAACCUCUCCAUCUUCAGUUCCAAUCCUUUUGAAGUAAAGCCUUAGACUGUAACCCUGAAGCACAACACAUUUUCCAUACCAAGAUACCUAUCUAUACUCCUUGCUCCAAGUCAUCAUCUUUUUCUUCAUCAACUGCUCUAAGCCUACUUCUGAGGUCUUCAGCAUUUAAAGAGCUGGUGGAGAAGAAUCUGAAAAGCACCAAAGGAAGUAGUGGAGAGCAUGAUUCCAAAACCUGCCACAACAAAUAGGCAACAAUCAUGAAGUUGGAAAGAUGUUCUACAAUCAAAUUGUUGUCAACCCAGUUCAAUAUAUGAGCCCUUCUUCCAAGAUGUAUUGGCUGGCUUAGCAUUUUCUUCAGAACAUGUUUUCAUUUGGUAAAGGAAUAAAACAGCAGUCUCUUUGGAAUGGUGACUCAGCAAUGCCCUGUACAGGUAUAGGGAGUGCGGUUUGGUGUUUUCUUUUUUCUCAUUCACAUUCAGGAAAGUAAUUUAGUUGCUCUUGAGGGUAGAUAAAGUGAACUCAAAAUGCAUCAUAUUUUUUUUUUUCCAAUAAAACUAUGCGCAUUCAGUUUUGACU